GAUGAAGAACGUAGCGAAAUGCGAUAAGUAAUGUGAAUUGCAGAAUUCAGUGAAUCAUCGAAUCUUUGAACGCACCUUGCGCUCCUUGGCAUUCCGAGGAGCAUGCCUGUUUGAGUGUCAUUAAAUUCUCAAGACCUGUCUGCUUUUUUGAUAGGUAUUGGAUUUUGGGGGUUGCAGGCUGUUUCAAAUAAAUAGCCUUGCUCUCCUUGAAUGUAUUAGUGGAGAAAAGCCAUUGAACUCCAUUGGUGUGAUAAAACCUAUCAAUGCCAGGAGCAAUAUCACUACUUCUCUCUGCUGUCUAACUGUGACUGUCUGUAUUAAUUAGUAUGGAUGGGGACAACUUGACCAACUUGACCUCAAAUCAGGUAGGACUACCCGCUGAACUUAAGCAUAUCAUAAGCGGAGGA
rnacentral:misc_RNA from 1 species